AAGAAGAAGAGAAGAAGAUGCGACCACCUCUUAUAAUUAGCUAUCACAGCAUCUCCUAACAUUUGUGUGUAAUAGUGUUGUAACUGAAAAAUACUGUCGCCUGCAACUGUGUUAAAAGCGGUUUAAACAGUGUACACGUCAGGAUUGUAAUUCACAUGGAGCCAGCUGUCUUCCAUACCAUCUGCUGAGAACCCAAGACAGGGACCAACUGUAAGCAGAGAGGAAGAGGCGAAGCAAGAGGUUUUACUCUGCCCAAAAUCUGUCCACGAAAAAUAACCCCCCGAAUUUAUGCACAAACUGACAGAAACCGUCUCAGGGAAGCUCAUCUGCGUGCUCGUCUUCCUCACCAGGGUAUUGACCUGACAGCAGUUUACCGUUGUAACCGACUUCAGUGGGGAAAUGCUCACCUUCGAUGGCCACUAGCACACUGGGGAAGUGUGUUCUACAAGGAAGAAUCCCUGUUUCAACUGUACCGGGCAGAUGGCAGGCGUUGUGUGGGCGAGCGGUUUGCUGACGUCAAUGUUGUGAACAGUGCCCCAUGGUGGUGGGUGGGUUAUGGUAUAGGCAGCCAUAAGCUUUGGACAACUAACACAAUUGCAUUUUAUCAAUGGCAAUUUGAAUGCACAGAGAUAUCAUGACAAGAUCCUGAGGCUCAUUGUCGUGCCAUUCAUCCGCCGCCAUCACCUAAUGUUUCAGCAUGAUCAUGCACAGCCCCAUGUCGCAAUGAUCUGUACGCAAGUCCUGGAAUGUCCCAGUUCUCCCAUGGCCUGAAUUCUCACCAGACAUGUCACCCAUUGAGCAUGUUUUGGAUGCUCUGGAUAGACGUGUACGACAGCGUGUUCCAGUUCCUGCCAAUUACCGCACAGCAUCUUCGCACAGCCAUUGAAGAGGAAUGGGACAACAUUCCACAGGUCACAAUCAACAGCCUGAUCAACUCUAUGCAAAGGAGAUGCCACACUUCAUGAGCUGCACCAUCGAGAGCAUCCUGACUGGUUGUAUCACUGCCUGGUAUGGCAACUGCUCGGCCUCCGACAGCAAGGUACUACAGAGGUUAGUGCGAAUGGCCCAGUACAUCACUGGGGCCAAGUUUCCUGCUAUCCAGAACCUCUAUACCAGGCGGUGUCAGAGGAAGGCCCUAAAAAUUGUCAAAGACUAUUUUCUCUGCUACCGCACGGUAAGCAGUACCAGAGCGCCAAGUCUAGGUCCAAGAGGCUUCUAAACAGCUUCUACCCCAAAGCCAUAAGACUCCUGAACAUCUAGUCAAAUGGCUACCCAGACUAUUCACAUGCCCCCCCCCCCCCCCACCACUGCCACUCACUGUUGUCAUCUAUGCAUAGUCACCGUAAUAACUACCUACAUGUACAAACUACCUCAACUAACCGGUGCCCCUGCACAUUGACUCUGUACCGGCAUCCCCCUGUGUAUAUUGUUAUUUUUUACUGUUCCUCUUUAAUUACUUGUUACUUUUAUCUCUUAUUCUUGUCCAUAUUUUUUUAAACUGCACUGUCGGUUAGGGGCUCGUAAGUAAGCAUUUCACUGUAAGGUUGUUGUAUUCGGCGCAUGUGAUAAAUAAAAUGUGAUUUGAUUUGAUGUUUACAUCCAUGUUUACCAUCACUGUCUUGAUUAUUACAGGUUGAAUAGUAACAUGCUUGCAGUGAAGAACGGUCCAACAUUGUGCAUCUUUCAAGUUAGGCUUUAGUGUAGAAGUCACAAAGUAUUCAUAAUAUAGGGAAAAAGCAACCAGAUGAAGAAUACCAACAACCAAUAAUUUUCUGCCCAUUAUGUAUAGUUCUCUCUUUGUGGGCAAUAAAAUGAGGAAAUUGAAUGUGAUAUUUUUCAACAUGGACUGUAUGUUAGUUCUGGCAUGCACACCACCUGAUCUGUUGUGGUGUUGGGAAGUGAAAUGCUCAAAUUUCCAUAGCAAAACUAAAAAAGGAUAUAUGCAAUUCUAGGGGGCUAUUUCCAGGACCCAGAUUUAAACCUAUUUAUGGGCUAAAAUGCAUGCUCAGUGGAGAACCUUUAAAGUACAUUUAAAGAUACAUCUUUUAAAAAACAUUCAGCUGUACCUGUUCGUGGAGGUGAUGCUGUUAUCUGUUCAAGACCAGCUGACAUGUUGAUAUGCCUUACACAAGGGACUGAACUGCUUCAUCCUCCUUGACUGAGAUGAAAAUCCUCUUGCAGACUAAUUCUCAUG